CCUACGGGGGGCAGCAGUGGGGAAUAUUGGACAAUGGGGGGAACCCUGAUCCAGCCAUGCCGCGUGUGUGAAGAAGGCCCUCGGGUUGUAAAACACUUUCAGUGAGGAAGAACGCCUGGUGGUUAAUACCCAUCAGGAAAGACAUCACUCACAGAAGAAGCACCGGCUAACUCCGUGCCAGCAGCCGCGGUAAUACGGAGGGUGCGAGCGUUAAUCGGAAUUACUGGGCGUAAAGCGCGCGUAGGUGGCUUGAUAAGCCGGUUGUGAAAGCCCCGGGCUCAACCUGGGAACGGCAUCCGGAACUGUCAAGCUAGAGUGCAGGAGAGGAAGGUAGAAUUCCCGGUGUAGCGGUGAAAUGCGUAGAGAUCGGGAGGAAUACCAGUGGCGAAGGCGGCCUUCUGGACUGACACUGACACUGAGGUGCGAAAGCGUGGGUAGCAAACAGGAUUAGAUACCCCGGUAGUC
rnacentral:rRNA from 1 species